rnacentral:misc_RNA from 1 species
CGACUGUUCACUUUUAAGCGCAUCAUGGCAUCGCCACUACGCUUCACCGACUCCACCAGAGCCAAACUUUUUCACCACUAAUUCGCCUUUUUUCUUUCAAGAAAAAGAGAAGUUGAUUUAGCAAAAUCUAUGAGAAUCGGAGCACUGAGUGGUAAAUCAAAUGAGUUUGUCCGCAUAGAGAAUUUUUUUACCAAUCAUCAAGCAAACGAGAAUAAAUCUCUAGACAAGGAAACAUAAAAAAUACAAGUUCAAACAUCCAAUGUUGAGUUUCAUAAAUCACUUGACUUUAGCUUCAAUUUAACCAGAUUCUGCACCAACAUUUCCAAACCCUUCACCGAACUUCCACCACCAUCUUUAAUAGCAUCCACUGCCACACUACUUAACUUUUGGACUCUCUCCCUGUUCACUCGGUUUUCGCUCACCGAUUCCUUUAUAACUCGUGCCAACUCUUCCCAGUUUGGCACGGUUGUGGCUCCUUCACACGCCCUUACAGCCACCUUCAACUUAUCCACCAAUAGACUAGCAUUCACAAAUUGGUCAGCCCCCAUAGGCCAUGCAAGCAUUGGCACGCCGGCUACUAGCCCUUCGAGGACCGAGUUCCAGCCGCAAUGAGUCAAGAACGCACCCACGGCUCGGUGACUUAGAAUCAAUACCUGUGGAGCCCACCCUCGUAUUAUGAGUCCCCUCCCAGCCAUCCGAUCUUCAAACCCAGAUGGGAUCAUGUUAUAUCCUCUCUUGUGUUCCUCCUCCCUGAUGCACCAUAUGAAUUUAACCCUACUUCUCCCCAAACUUGAAGCAAGCUGUUCCAUUUGAUCAUUGGUCAACGAAGUUUGACUCCCAAAACAUACAUAAACUACCUUAUUAUCUUCACACCUGUCAAGCCACGUCAAUACAUCGUCCACCGGAACAGAGCUGGGCCCACAUCUUUCUGCGGGCCCAGGAUGGGGGAACAAAGGUCCUACCGCCCACACAUGAUCGUGAUGACCGAAUUCCUUCUUUAAAUGAUCCAAAUAAACACCUUCCAACUCAGUGAACGAGUUGACAACAAGGCCCCAACUCGCUAGAUUAGCACAAAAGGCAUCUUUGAUGAACUCCGAAUCUGUUCCUCCUUCAACAUAGGUGCGAUAAAUAGUAGAAAUCUGAAACCAUGGAAAUUCUGGAGAAUUUGGAAUCCUGGAAAACGAAACCAGUUUAUUUUGGUUUCUCUUAGGCAUGUCUCGCCAGAGGGAAUAAAUGACCGACAAAGCCAUGGCACCAGAAGGAGAGAACACAAUCCUGCGAAUGUUGAGCUGCCUGGCUAAAUGGUUGGUCCAGCCAAGGAACAUAUCAGAUAUUAUGGCGACUGGCGGUGAAGGGUGGGAUUUGAACCAACGGAGCAAAGGAUCGCGAAGCUCAGCUAGGAUGCGAAUCAUGGUAAUGAUAUGAACAGGGUUUGAAGGCAUGUCCUUGACGUUUUCUACUCCAGAUGGGAUCGAUGAAUGGGUGGGAAAAUGAAGGACUAGAGUUUUGAUUGAUGGGUGGAGAGAGAGAAGAGGGUUUAAGAAAGGGAGGUUUUUGGGGGUGAUCAAAAUGGUUAUGGUUAGACCAUGGGUGGCUAACUUGUGGGUUAGAUCAAGGAGAGGUAUCAUGUGUCCUUGCGCUGGGAAAGGGAAGAUCAAUAUGUGAGUUUCAGUGGGUAGAAUUGUCAUGAUAUUGAAGUUCUGGAGUAUGAGAGAGACAAAUUAAUGAAAGAAAGCUAAAGAAUGCAAAGAUAUACAAGUAUG